AGCGAACGCUGGCGGCAGGCCUAACACAUGCAAGUCGAGCGGGCAUCCUUUUGGUGUCUGCGGCAGCCGGGUGAGUAACGCGUGCGAACGUGCCCUUCGUCUCGGACUAACUCUUGGUAACUUGAGCUAAUACCGGAUACGUGCGAGAGCAGCAUGGUUGAUCUGCCGAAGGAGCGGCGCGCGUCUGAUUAACUAGUUGGUGAGGUUAUGGCUCACAAAGGCGACGAUCAGAAGCUGGUAUGCGAGGACGAUCAGGAACACUGGGAGUGAGACACGGCGCAAACUCCUACGGGAGGGAGCAGUGGGGAAUAAGGGACAAUGGGGGCAACACGGAGCCAGCCAUGUCGCGUGAGUGAUGAGGGGGUUAGGAAUAGAAGGAUCUUUUCACCGGGACGAUAAUGACGGUACCGGAGGAAUAAGACCCGGCAAACUUCGU
rnacentral:rRNA from 1 species